rnacentral:rRNA from 1 species
GGUUUAAUUCGAUGAUACGCGAGGAACCUUACCAGGGCUUGAACGUGCAUUGACAGGGGCGGAAACGUCCUCUUCUUCGGACAAUGUGCGAGGUGCUGCAUGGCUGUCGUCAGCUCGUGCCGUGAGGUGUCGGGUUAAGUCCCAUAACGAGCGCAACCCCUACCGUUAGUUGCCAGCGGAUAAUGCCGGGGACUCUAGCGGAACUGCCCGCGUAAGCGGUGA